rnacentral:rRNA from 3 species
AUCCUGGCUCAGAGCGAACGCUGGCGGCAGGCUUAACACAUGCAAGUCGAGCGGGCGUAGCAAUACGUCAGCGGCAGACGGGUGAGUAACGCGUGGGAACGUACCUUUUGGUUCGGAACAACACAGGGAAACUUGUGCUAAUACCGGAUAAGCCCUUACGGGGAAAGAUUUAUCGCCGAAAGAUCGGCCCGCGUCUGAUUAGCUAGUUGGUAGGGUAAUGGCCUACCAAGGCGACGAUCAGUAGCUGGUCUGAGAGGAUGAUCAGCCACAUUGGGACUGAGACACGGCCCAAACUCCUACGGGAGGCAGCAGUGGGGAAUAUUGGACAAUGGGGGCAACCCUGAUCCAGCCAUGCCGCGUGAGUGAUGAAGGCCCUAGGGUUGUAAAGCUCUUUUGUGCGGGAAGAUAAUGACGGUACCGCAAGAA